GCUCCCGUAGCUCAACCAUCAGAGCGCCGCGCUUCGAACGCGGAGGUUGCAGGUGAGAUUCCUGCCGGGAGUGCCA
rnacentral:tRNA from 1 species